rnacentral:rRNA from 1 species
UCCAGACUCCUACGGGAGGCAGCAGUGGGGAAUAUUGGGCAAUGGGCGCAAGCCUGACCCAGCAACGCCGCGUGAAGGAAGAAGGCUUUCGGGUUGUAAACUUCUUUUAAGAGGGACGAAGAAAGUGACGGUACCUCAGGAAUAAGCCACGGCUAACUACGUGCCAGCAGCCGCGGUAAUACGUAGGUGGCAAGCGUUAUCCGGAUUUAUUGGGUGUAAAGGGCGUGUAGGCGGGAAAGCAAGACAGAUGUGAAAACUCAGGGCUCAACCCUGAGCCUGCAUUUGAAACUGUUUUUCUUGAGUGCUGGAGAGGCAAUCGGAAUUCCGUGUGUAGCGGUGAAAUGCGUAGAUAUACGGAGGAACACCAGUGGCGAAGGCGGAUUGCUGGACAGCAACUGACGGUCAGGGACGAAAGCGUGGGGAGCGAAUAGGAUUAGAUACCCCCGUAUUA